UGUUUUAUUCCAUUCUUUUUUCUGCCAUGUUCGAGGGCAGCGGCAAGAUAGGGUAAGUAGUCGCUUCCUUCGCCCAAUGUCGCCCUGUUUUUCGAUCCGAUCUAUGUUUUCUCGUUCGAUAUGAUCUAGUUUUAUUUUCUGAAAAGUUGAUCAGCAAAGUUAUGCGACAGUGAGUUUUUGGGGUAAGCUAGGGCCUCUAUUUUUCUUCCGUCGGAUUUUUUGUCAAUGAUUUUGCUCGACUUGUACUUCUCGAUCAAUCUUUAUUCCUUCCUCAUCAUCGAGUCUUUCUAGUUAAUACUUUUUUGUUCGUUCUCUGGGAUGUUGAUCGUCGAAGCGAUGAGAUCGUUGCGUUUUUGUGGUAAUAUCAGGAGAUCUGGUUUUUUUUUCUUCCGUCGGAUUUAUUUCUUUUAAUGAAUUUGUUCGAGUUGUUCUGCUCGAUCGACCACUCUUUCUUCCUUAUCAUCAAGUGUUUCUCGUUUAUACUAUUUGGCUUCAUUCGCUGGGAUGUUGAUCGGGGAAGCUAUACGAUCGUUGAGUUUUUGUGGGUUGAUUUAUGUUUUGUGAUAUUUGGAAUCACGACGGUUGGCCGCUGGUGAUGGAGAUUAGGGUUUGUUAACUCCAUUUGACUGACUUAGUUUAUUCUCUCUCGUUGCAAAAUGUUAUCUCCUAUUUGUUUGUUUGUUUAUAGUCUUACACUUCCAUUAGCAAAAUGCUAUCUCGUGCUUGUUUGUUUGUUUACUUACACUUCUAUACGCAAAAUGCUAUCUCGUGUUUGUUUGUUUGUUUGCACGAUGUUAAUCUGAUUUAUUUUGUUCUUGUUCUA